GAUGAACGCUGGCGGCGUGCCUAACACAUGCAAGUCGAGCGAGGGUUUGCUCAGUAUUGAGUAUUCUAAGUCUAGAAUGUUCAAUUCUGAGCAAAACCAAGCGGCGGACGGGUGAGUAACGCGUGGGUAACCUGCCCUAUACACAUGGCUAACAUACUGAAAAGUUUACUAAUACAUGAUAAUAUAUAUUUGCGGCAUCGCAGAUAUAUCAAAGUGUUAGCGGUAUAGGAUGGACCCGCGUCUGAUUAGCUAGUUGGUGAGAUAACUGCCCACCAAGGCGACGAUCAGUAGCCGACCUGAGAGGGUGAUCGGCCACAUUGGAACUGAGACACGGUCCAAACUCCUACGGGAGGCAGCAGUGGGGAAUAUUGCACAAUGGGCGAAAGCCUGAUGCAGCAACGCCGCGUGAACGAUGAAGGUCUUCGGAUCGUAAAGUUCUGUUGCAGGGGAAGAUAAUGACGGUACCCUG
rnacentral:rRNA from 1 species